UUCUUGGGUGAAAUAGAAGUCUUAUAUUAUACAUUUGUAUCUGAUUAGAAUAGUUUUGUUAUCAUCAUUCCAACUAAUUUAUUAACAGAUUUUUCUUGAAUUCGAGGAUAAUGAUGUUAUUACCAGCUGAUUAAGGAGGAGUAGUGUAAGUGUCAGAUGGGUACGAACGUCAUCUUGUGACAGCAUCACCUUUGUUUGGCUAAAGUACAAGAGAACUGCAGCAUCUAAGACUACAUGUACAUCGACUUUGAAUAAUCUACCCGGUAUAUCCUCAAAAAGGCAACUCAAAUACAGAAAGUGCAUAUAAUUUGGAAAAGAGACCAUCAAUCCACUGGGGGGUAUCGCAUGAAAGCAAUGAUUAUAGAAUAUUGUAAAGCUGGAGGAGUAUUAGUACAACAGGC